GACGAGCGCUGGCGGCAUGCCUAACACAUGCAAGUCGAGCGAGCAGAUCCCUUCGGGGUGAAGCUAGCGGCGGACGGGUGAGUAACACGUGGGCAACCUACCUCAUAGAGGGGAAUAGCCUUCCGAAAGGAAGAUUAAUACCGCAUAAGAUUGUAGCUUCGCAUGAAGCAGCAAUUAAAGGAGCAAUCCGCUAUGAGAUGGGCCCGCGGCGCAUUAGCUAGUUGGUGAGGUAACGGCUCACCAAGGCGACGAUGCGUAGCCGACCUGAGAGGGGGAUCGUCCACAUUGGGACUGAGACACGGCCUGGACUCCUACGGGAGGCAGCAGUGGGGAAUAUUGCACAAUGGGGGAAACCCUGAUGCAGCAAUGCCGCGUGAGUGAUGACGGCCUUCGGGUUGUAAAGCUCUGUCUUCGGGGACGAUAAUGACGGUACCCGAGGAGGAAGCCACGGCUAACUACGUGCCAGCCGCCGCGGUAA
rnacentral:rRNA from 1 species